CUGAACAAUCUGAACUCUGCCUUUAUUUGGUGCCACAGGUAAGCCAGGAGGGGGCGCAUGGUUCCCACAUCAUGACAACCACAGGGUGCAGGUGAUGCCACCUUUUCUGACCAUGGAGGCUCCCACGUGUUCAACAUCGGCUGCUUUAGAGGACGAGACCUGCGUUCUGCUCAGCACACACUGAGCACCAUCACCUCACUGGGGGACAGCUGGAAGCAGAGGAAUGGAGACACUAACUGCUGUUAGGAAAGUGGAGUGAUGGGCUGGGUGCAGUGCCUUAUGCCUGUAAUCCGAUCACUUUGGGAGGCUGAGGAGGGUGGAUCAUGAGCUAAGGAGUUUGAGACCAGCCUGGCCAACAUGGUGAAACCCCUUCUCUACUAAAGGUACAAAAAAUUAGCCAGGUGUGGUACACACACCUAUAAUCUUAGCUACCCCGGAGGCUGGGGCAGGAGAAUUGCUUGAACCCAGGAGGCAGAGGUUGCAGUGAGGUGAGAUCAUGUCAUUGUACUCCAGCAUGGGUGACAUGGCGAGACUUUAUCUCAAUUAAAAAAAAAUGGAGUGACAAUAUUUCUGGUUCCUUUUUUCUAAAGAUAAGUAUUAUCUAAGUUACAGAAGUUAGGGUCUCUUCUGGGGCUGGU
rnacentral:lncRNA from 10 species